rnacentral:rRNA from 1 species
AUUGAACGCUGGCGGCAGGCCUAACACAUGCAAGUCGAGCGAGCGGCGGACGGGUGAGUAAUGUAUGGGAAACUGCCCGAUAGAGGGGGAUAACUACGGGAAACGGUAGCUAAUACCGCAUACGAGCGGAUGAACCCAUAUGGGAUUAGCUAGUAGGUGGGGUAAAGGCUCACCUAGGCGACGAUCUCUAGCUGGUCUGAGAGGAUGAACAGCCCCACUGUGACUGAGACACGGCCCAGACUCCUACGGGAGGCAGCAGUGGGGAAUCUUGCACAAUGGGCGCAAGCCUGAUGCAGCCAUGCCGCGUGUAUGAAGAAGGCCUUCGGGUUGUAAAGUACUUUCAGCGGGGAGGCGUUACCCGCAGAAGAAGCACCGGCUAACUCCGUGCCAGCCGCCGCGGUAAUUC